rnacentral:misc_RNA from 1 species
GUGAAUCAUCAAAUUUUUGAACGCAAAUUGCACUCUCUGGCAUUCCGGGGAGUAUGCCUGUUUGAGGAUCAGUAUAAUCAAAAUCUGAGCUAUUCUUUUUGGGUGACGCACCGUGGUGUGGGUCAUCGUAACGCUUUUUUUUAAUAUACCUAAAAUUAACAUUCUUUUUGGCUCACUUUUUAGACGUACAUAAUUUUUUUUUAUUGGUCUAGCCUUGUGUCAAAAAUUUUAUAAGAUCUUGAAUCACGUAGAUA